UACAGAGGGUGCAAGCGUUAAUCGGAAUUACUGGGCGUAAAGCGUGCGUAGACGGUUAUUUAAGUCAGGUGUGAAAGCCCCGGGCUCAACCUGGGAAUUGCAUUUGAGACUGAAUAGCUAGAGUACGAAAGAGGGUCGCGGAAUUCCCGGUGUAGAGGUGAAAUUCGUAGAUAUCGGGAGGAACACCGGUGGCGAAGGCGGCGACCUGGGUCGAGACUGACGCUAAUACGCGAAAGCGUGGGGAGCAAACAGG
rnacentral:rRNA from 1 species